rnacentral:lncRNA from 1 species
UGGUUUUCAUAGGUUAGAUGUUGGAGGAGAGCUUGAGGAUGGAUUCACUAAUUUAAAUUUUAGGUUAGAAGUUUGUAAUUGCUGUAAUUUCAGUUUGUGAGCUGAAAUUGGAGUAUUCUUGGGUUUUUGUUGAUUUUUUAAUCUGAUUCCUUCUAACAGUGAUUUUAUUGAAUCCUAGCUAGUUUUUCCUUCCUUUCAUAUGGAUUGGAGUUGAUUCAAGCUAGAUUGGAGGUUAGUGGUGAUCAAUUUCAAGUUUAAUUUAGUUUUCGAAAUCGAAAUGCAUUUUCGUUAGAUUUUUUAUUGAAAAUUUAUUUACAGCUAGAU